rnacentral:lncRNA from 1 species
CGGCCUGGCCCGGCCCUGCCGGGUCUCGCAGACUCUGUGAGCCUUUAACUCGCUGGGGCCGUGGGGUCGCUCGGCCGCUGCAGCCUGGCCCUGCCAGCGCCCGCGCGCGCCCUCAGCCCAUUUCCCGCCCCGGACGCCACCUGGGGCCGCGCGCCUGACGCAGGCCCCAAGGGCAGCGCCACCCCCAUUUCCCUGUUCUUCCCCGCCUUCAAGAACAACGGACGAGUGGGUAAGAACGCCCUGUAGCCCAAGAUAAAGGCUAAAAUGUUUUCUUCCUUUUGAUAAUGCUCCUGGUUCCGUCCCUCGGUAUUAUGCUCCAUAAUGUGCCGCGCGCAGCCAUUUUGUCAUCGCUUUGGGUCAUCCUUGCUCACAAUUGGUUAUUUACUCAGGGGCUUUUGAAAUUAUUGAGUUGACACAUCUGUCAGACGGCAAAAGCAGAAAUGCUAAAAGGUCACUUGGAGAGAAACCAGCUGCUCCACACAAACCUUUCUGCCUCCAAAUAGCACAAUCAUUACAGCCUGACAGAUGGGGCCUCUGCGUUCCUUGCGGGCUCUCCCCUGCCUUCAGGUACUUAGCUACACCACCUCAUUGCCAGGUCAGCCCGGCCUCCUUGUAAUUACCCACACAAUAGGCAUCUCUCUGCUUAAGAAGAACAGCUCCAUUUUCUCUAAAUAGGAAACCAGUUUCCCCAUAGAUAUGAACUACUGAAUGGCUGCCACAAACUUUCCUAUUAACAGAUUCAUUUUGGCAGUGUUCUCAAGUCUUGCACUCCUGAGGAAUUGGAUGAGAUGUAGAGAAAAGGAAAAAAGCAAUAAGGAAAAGGAAGAAAGGAGGCAUGCUUCACUCUUAUCACCAAGAAGCCGAAAUACCAUAGCACCUUACUAUGCAUUUGGAGAAUUCCCAAGUUCCAUUGUGCACCAGUGCUAGGAAAGCUGAUAACCAAUUAAAUGGUUUAAAGAGCGUUCUACUUUUAAAUGGUAAUACUUUUUAAAGGAAUUGCAAUUAGAAUAACUGG